rnacentral:rRNA from 1 species
CCUACGGGGGGCAGCAGUGGGGAAUAUUGGACAAUGGGGGGAACCCUGAUCCAGCCAUGCCGCGUGUGUGAAGAAGGCCUUAUGGUUGUAAAGCACUUUAAGCGAGGAGGAGGCUACUUUAGUUAAUACCUAGAGAUAGUGGACGUUACUCGCAGAAUAAGCACCGGCUAACUCUGUGCCAGCAGCCGCGGUAAUACAGAGGGUGCGAGCGUUAAUCGGAUUUACUGGGCGUAAAGCGUGCGUAGGCGGCUUAUUAAGUCGGAUGUGAAAUCCCCGAGCUUAACUUGGGAAUUGCAUUCGAUACUGGUGAGCUAGAGUAUGGGAGAGGAUGGUAGAAUUCCAGGUGUAGCGGUGAAAUGCGUAGAGAUCUGGAGGAAUACCGAUGGCGAAGGCAGCCAUCUGGCCUAAUACUGACGCUGAGGUACGAAAGCAUGGGGAGCAAACAGGAUUAGAUACCCCGGUAGUC